rnacentral:misc_RNA from 1 species
CGGAUAUUUGGGAGUCCGGAUCGUAGAUUUACUCACCAGGUGUUUGCCCGAUGGUACAGAGCACCUGAGUUAUUGUUUGGCACUAAGCAAUAUGGUUCUGCAGUGGAUGUUUGGGCAGCAGCUUGUAUUUUUGCGGAACUACUACUUCGUCGUCCUUUUCUUCAGGGUUCAAGUGACAUUGAUCAAUUAGGGAAGAUUUUUGCAGCAUUUGGAACUCCUACG